AACCUUUAGUUGGUUAAUGCGACAUCAACACGUCGUUGAUGAAGGCGAAACCAACACACCAGGCUUAUUCCUGUGGAGUUAUUAUGAGCGAUAAAAUUAUUCACCUGACUGAC
rfam:Citrobacter koseri ATCC BAA-895, complete genome.